ACCGACUCCACUAUCGUAAUCUCCACUAGUCUAUACCCAACACCGUAAGAACGCUAACACUGGAUAAUUUAAGUUAGGCUACUUGGAGGCUAUGGCUAGUAGGCUAGUACUCAGGGGCGUUGCCUGGCGGGGAAAAGUGGUACUGAUUCUAAGGGCCCAGCCCAACGCAGCACGGCCCACGGCCCGCGGAUGGCAAUUAAUAAUAUAAUAUUAAUAUUCUUGCCUUUUUUUUUUUUUUUAAAUGUCUCAUUACAAAGAAAUGGUAAUUGGAAAUAAACGUAUUAAACUCACAACUGUCGAUUUCCAUAACGUUUUCGUUAGUUAAUUAACAUAUUGUCAUUUGGCCUUCCCCCUGAGCUCUUGCGAAAUGGUUCAGCCGCAACGCACGAUGCGUUGAAUCGAACAGCAUCCGAAAUGUGAGAUGCUGGCACUGGCAGCAGGUGUACAGAGCGGCUGGGCUGGCUGAGGUCAGGUCUUAACCACAUGAUGGUGAGCUGGUGGUGACAGCUACAGAAAUGAAGUCAGGUUGGCAAAAACUGAAGGAAAGACGGGAGAAAGAGGAGAGGGCCAAAAGAGGCAGGCAACUGGUCACUCAAUUAUUCGCCAAUAAAGAAGGAGGAGGACAAGAUCCGCCCACGGCCACCACGACUGGAUUCCAUUUCGGAGAAGGAGGUAAGCAACAUUAGUUUGGUAGGAUGUUAGUUGCUUUAGGAUGAAAGUUUUGAAUGAGGGUGCCUUCUAGGCUAGAUCAUAUUUCAGUAUUUAACGGUCAGUCGUUAGGUUCGAGAAAACAGAAUGUUUUUCUUUCUUUUACUGUAACUCUUGUUACUUGUAUAUUUGUAUUGAUGUCUACAAUGUGGAUCCAUUGAUAUUGUAUGCAAUUGCACUGUAAAUUAUGUUCUUUGUUUACAUUUUGAUUGUUACUUGGAGCUAUUUUUUGCACUUUAGACUUCAGCAAUUAAACUUUUUAUUCAUGAACAGUGUAAAUUGAGAUUUUUUUUCAUAUUGUUUGAAGCUGAAGUGUAAAUAUUUGUGUUGAUGUCAAGCAAUUGUAAUGUUAAUUCAGUUCCUAUAAGAGUCUAUCUUUUUAAUGUAUCUUUUUUAUGUACUAUUUAUGGAAUUUGAAAUUGUACUUGCAUAAUAAAUAUGUGUUUAAAGUAAGCAGAAACGGUGGAUUUUUUUGCAGUGCAUCAUGUCUUCUGAAAAGACUAUUGCAGUUAUACAAGGUAUGAAAUUGUGAGUACUCUUAUGGUUUCUUGGGGCUCUGGCUGUGAAGCAUCCACAGGCUUAUGCUGCCAUGUACUGGUUUAACAUUGUAAUGUACUCUCAAUUACAAAGCAAGGUCACUAACUACAUGAAUGGGUAAUCAAUAAUCAAACUGACAAUUGUAGUACAGUUUCAAGCUGCUUACAGACAAUUUUAGCAUAACAAUCAAAUUUCUGUAUUUGUGAAUCUGUACACACAGCUUUAUUUUCAACACAAAAUUCCAUUGGAUUUCCAUAGGUAUUUGUGUUGUGUGGAAAACAGUGUGUUUGGAUUUGCUGAAAAGUUGAUGUGUUGAAACCAAACUGGGUCAAGUCCAAUUUUAGCAUGAGAGAAGGACAUUGUUGUAAAAUUGUGUUUAAGCAGCUAUUGGACAAUAUGUAUAAGACUGCUGCCUAAAAGACAGUAGGCUAUAAAUACUUAGUUUAUUACUUGAAUUACAUGAUGUCACUAACUGAAUGAAAUACGUUUAAUAAGUAAGUUCAUACCCUUAUUUAAAGUCACACAAACCCAUACUCCAUGAAGGGGCAACGAAAAGUCUAACUGAAGUGCUAUUGUGAUGCUGGGCCAUGUUUACCAAAACAGUCGAUAGAUGUUGGGGGGGGCCCAAAAUUAGAAUCUUUCAUAGGGCCCAAAAUUCCUGGCAGCGCCCCUGCUAGUACUAUUUCAAGUUAAAACAGCUGACCACAUGAGGGCAAAAAACACAAAAGAUCUCGCCAAAGUACCAGCAAAUCUUAAGCAAUAAAUAUCGCAUCUUACCUUUAUCAACGUGCCAGUGGUCUGCAGAUGUAUCCCGCGGUGUAGCCUGCGUGCCUGCUGCCUAACCACAUCCAUUUAGUUCAACAGGUUUUCGCUCUGACACUGUCCAUCCAUGGUACUAGCAGUCUGGUGCUUUUUACCUAUGUAUUCAGGCUAAAAUUAAUUGACUGUUUGAUGCCUCAUCAUUGCAUACCAGCCAUAGAGUAUUGGUAUAUUAAUAUCUCAUUCAUUGUCCAAGUCA
ensembl:lncRNA